rnacentral:rRNA from 1 species
UGCUUAGUACGGCGAGUGAGCGGCAAAAGCUCAAAUUUGAAAUCUGGUACCUUCGGUGCCCGAGUUGUAAUUUGGAGAGGGCAACUUUGGGGCCGUUCCUUGUCUAUGUUCCUUGGAACAGGACGUCAUAGAGGGUGAGAAUCCCGUGUGGCGAGGAGUGCGGUUCUUUGUAAAGUGCCUUCGAAGAGUCGAGUUGUUUGGGAAUGCAGCUCUAAGUGGGUGGUAAAUUCCAUCUAAAGCUAAAUAUUGGCGAGAGACCGAUAGCGAACAAGUACAGUGAUGGAAAGAUGAAAAGAACUUUGAAAAGAGAGUGAAAAAGUA